CCUACGGGAGGCAGCAGUGGGGAAUAUUGCACAAUGGGGGAAACCCUGAUGCAGCGACGCCGCGUGAGUGAUGAAGUACUUCGUUAUGUAAAGCUCUAUCAGCAGGGAAGAAAAUGACGGUACCUGAGUAAUAAGCACCGGCUAACUACGUGCCAGCAGCCGCGGUAAUACGUAGGGGGCCAGCGUUAUCCGGAUUUACUGGGGGUAAAGGGAGCGUAGACGGCAGUGCAAGUCUGGAGUGAAAGGCGGGGGCUCAACCCCCGGACUGCUCUUGAAACUGUACGGCUGGAGUGCAGGAGAGGUACGUGGAAUUCGUGGUGUAGCGGUGAAAUGCGUAGAUAUUAGGAAGAACACCAGUGGCGAAGGCGGCCUGCUGGACAGAAACUGACGUUGAGGCACGAAAGCGUGGGGAGCAAACAGGAUUAGAUACCCCAGUAGUC
rnacentral:rRNA from 1 species